CCUACGGGGGGCGGCAGUCGAGAAUAUUGGGCAAUGGGCGAAAGCCUGACCCAGCGACGCCGCGUGCUUGAGGAAGCCCUUCGGGGUGUAAAGAGCUUUUAACCGGGAACAAGCUUCGGCUGAGGGUACCGGUUGAAUAAGGGGGUGCUAACUCUGUGCCAGCAGCAGCGGUAAUACAGAGCCCCCAAGCGUUAUCCGAAUUUAUUGGGCGUAAAGCGUUCGUAGGCGCCUUGUUAGGUUUUCUGUUAAAUACCAGCGCUCAACGUUGGAAAUAUAGAAAAAACCGGCAAGGUAGAGGGAGUUAGGGGCGGAUGGAACACUCGGUGUAGGGGUGAAAUCCGUUGAUAUCGAGUGGAACACCAAAAGCGAAGGCAUUCCGCUGGAGCUACCCUGACGCUGAGGAACGAAAGCGUGGGGAUAAAAAAGGAUUAGAUACCCUUGUAUUCCACGCUGUAAACGAUGGACACUGGCUAUUGGUAGUGUCGACCCUAUCAGUGGCGAAGCUAACGCGUUAAGUGUCCCGCCUGGGAAGUACGGCCGCAAGGCUAAAACUCAAAGGAAUUGACGG
rnacentral:rRNA from 1 species